rnacentral:rRNA from 1 species
CGUGCCUAAUACAUGCAAGUCGAGCGAGCGGAACCAACAGAUUUACUUCGGUAAUGACGUUGGAAAAGCGAGCGGCGGAUGGGUGAGUAACACGUGGGGAACCUGUCCCUAAGUCUGGGAUACCAUUUGGAAACAGGUGCUAAUACCGGAUAAUAAAGCAGAUCGCAUGAUCAGCUUUUGAAAGGCGGCGUAAGCUGUCGCUAAGGGAUGGCCCCGCGGUGCAUUAGCUAGUUGGUAAGGUAACGGCUUACCAAGGCGACGAUGCAUAGCCGAGUUGAGAGACUGAUCGGCCACAUUGGGACUGAGACACGGCCCAAACUCCUACGGGAGGCAGCAGUAGGGAAUCUUCCACAAUGGACGCAAGUCUGAUGGAGCAACGCCGCGUGAGUGAAGAAGGUUUUCGGAUCGUAAAGCUCUGUUGUUGGUGAAGAAGGAUAGAGGUAGUAACUGGCCUUUAUUUGACGGUAAUCAACCAGAAAGUCACGGCUAACUACGUGCCAGCAGCCGCGGUAAUACGUAGGUGGCAAGCGUUGUCCGGAUUUAUUGGGCGUAAAGCGAGCGCAGGCGGAAAAAUAAGUCUAAUGUGAAAGCCCUCGGCUUAACCGAGGAACUGCAUCGGAAACUGUUUUCCUUGAGUGCAGAAGAGGAGAGUGGACCUCAUGUG